AAAUGCGAUAAGUAAUGUGAAUUGCAGAAUUCAGUGAAUCGUCGAAUCUUUGAACGCACCUUGCGCUCCUUGGUAUUCCUUGGAGCAUGCCUGUUUGAGUAUCAUGAAAUCUUCAAAGUAAAUCUUUUGUUAACUCAAUUGGUUUCUACUUUGGUAUUGGAGGUCUUUGCAGCUUCACACCUGCUCCUCUUUGUUCAUUAGCUGGAUCUCAGUGUUAUGCUUGGUUCCACUCGGCGUGAUAAGUUAUCUAUCGCUGAGGACACUGUAAAAGGUGGCCAAGGUAAAUGCAGAUGAACCGCUUCUAAUAGUCCAUUGACUUGGACAAUACUUUUAUGAUCUGAUCUCAAAUCAGGUAGGACUACCCGCUGAACUUAAGC
rnacentral:misc_RNA from 1 species